ACUGUUCAGAGAAUUAGGAAAUUUCGAGAUAUGGAUGGUAGAAAUUUAACACAUAGAAAAUAUCAAUCUUUGCACACAGUAACACAUAAUACAAAAUGAUCUAUGGUUUUUUUUGUGUGUGCUGCCAAACAUUUGGACCACUAAUAAAAUGAAUAAGAAGUUAUAUGCAUCAUUAAUGUAAAACAAAAACAUAGCCUAAUUAAUUUUGUUUUUUCUUGCUAACACAAAAUCA